rnacentral:rRNA from 1 species
AUUGAACGCUGGCGGCAUGCCUUACACAUGCAAGUCGAACGGCAGCACGGGAGCAAUCCUGGUGGCGAGUGGCGAACGGGGGAGUAAAGUAUCGGAACGUUCCCAGUCGGGGGGGAUAACGUAGCGAAAGUUACGCUAAUACCGCAUACGAUCUAUGGAUGAAAGCGGGGGAUCGCAAGACCUCGCGCGAUUGGAGCGGCCGAUAUCAGAUUAGGUAGUUGGUGGGGUAAAGGCUCACCAAGCCGACGAGCUGGAGCUGUUCUGAGAGGACGAACAGACACACUGGGACUGAGACACGGCCGAGACUCCUACGGGAGGCAGCAGUGGGGAAUUUUGGACAAUGGGCGCAAGCCUGAUCCAGCCAUGCCGCGUGCAGGAUGAAGGCCUUCGGGUUGUAAACUGCUUUUGUACGGAACGAAAAGGUUUGACUUAAUACGUUGGACUCAUGACGGCACCGUAAGAAUAAGCACCGGCUAACUACGUGCCAGCAGCCGCGGUAACAC